rnacentral:misc_RNA from 1 species
UUUCCGUAGGUGAACCUGCGGAAGGAUCAUUACUGAGUGAGGGCCCUCUGGGUCCAACCUCCCACCCGUGUUUAUUAUACCUUGUUGCUUCGGUGAGCCCGCCUCACGGCCGCCGGGGGGCAACUGCCCCCGGGCCCGCGCCCACCGAAGACACCUAGAACUCUGUAUGAAGAUUGCAGUCUGAGCAAAAACUAAAUAAGUUAAAACUUUCAACAACGGAUCUCUUGGUUCCG